rnacentral:rRNA from 1 species
CUGGGGAUAAUACCCUAUAGGUUACAGAUGCUGGAAUGCCCUGUAACCAAAAGCUCCGGCGCCCUAGGAUGGAUCUGCGGCCGAUUAGGUUGUUGUUGGGGUAACGGCCCAACAAGCCCGUAAUCGGUACGGGUUGUGGGAGCAAGAGCCCGGAGUUGGAUUCUGAGACACGAAUCCNGGCCCUACGGGGCGCANCAGGCGCGAAACCUCUACNAUGCGGGCAACCGUGAUAAGGGAACCUCGAGUGCCUGUAAACGCAGGCUGUUCAGGUGUUUAAAACGCACCUGGAGAAAGGGCCGGGCAAGACCGGUGCCAGCCGCCGCGGUAAUACCGGCGGCUCGAGUGGUGGCCGCUUUUAUUGGGCUUAAAGCGUUCGUAGCUGGGU